rnacentral:lncRNA from 1 species
UUACUUUGGCCGAGUAGUAGAUUGUAACUCUAAGAGAAAGCGUUAUGCAUGAUUGUCGGUUCAUGUUCCUCGAUGUCUAGCUUGAGUGACAUAAACAUGAAACUAGGGGAUGUGCUGUUGCCAUCAGGGAGAAAAUAACGGUGCUUGUAACCACGGUUGCAAGAAUUGUUUACCUUACACACAAUUCGUUAAUGCAGUUGUCCGUUGCUUUGAGUUUACACUUUGGGUGGGGCUCGUAACUUAAUAUCGGAGAGAUGUUCUGGAUAGAUAUCUCAAGGUGGAUGAUUAGUAAAUAGAUGUUGAGGAAUAAAUGGUCUACUUGUCUUGGCGUACUGCUCAUUACUAUUGAACCUUUAACUAUCAAGUAGCAUAAUUAGUAUUGCGGUGCGUUUAUAAUUCUGUCAAUUGCCCAACUGUGAUUUGUUUAUCCAAGCAUAGUUGUUUAUCGUCUUUUGGAAGAAAGACAAACACUAGUGGACAUCAUGUGACUCUAGUCCAUAUCACCAUCAUUGUUUACACCUCCAUCAUUUAUCGUUUUCAUUAAUUUUUCCGUUGCAAUCACUAUUACUAUUCUCGCUUGUGUUUUGAUCCUUUGCAAACUACAAGGCCGGAGAGAUUGACAACCUCUCUGUACUCGUUGGGAGAAAAGUUAUUUGUUGUGUGUGCAUGUUCACGUCUUCUGCUGACCAGGACAGGAGACACCUACUUGUUGAUCAUAGGAGUCUUCUUGGUUCGAUAAACCUUACAGUCUCCGAGUAAGGAAAAACUUGCUGCUGACUAUAUCUCAACCUUCCGCUUUGGGUAACCAACGAGGUGUGAGAAGUAUAUACAUCAUCUCGUCAUCAACGACCCAAGCCUAGCACGAGCAGCCCUGCCUCGGCCCCUGUUUUUAGGAGUUUGCGGGCAGUCUUUGCCGAAGUGCCCAGCGCGCUUGCAGAUGAUGCAGCGAAGGGGUCAUGGCAGUCAACGCGGCGGUGGCGUUUGCUAAGGCAGCGGAAGCACCUUUCCUUGAACUGUCUUAAGAAGGN